UGAAUUCUUAAUAAUAAUUUUUUAUAUUGCGAUAGACUGUACUCACUUUUUUCUAUAUGCUUGUCUAAAUGAAAUAUUGUUUCAUCUUUUGUAAUUUUGUGCAUCUGUAUUCUAUGUAUAAGAAAAAGCAUUAUGUUUCUUUAUAUGUGAUUAAAUGUUCGAGAUGUGAUAUGUUAAGUGGAUGACCUUAAAUUUGUUGUUUAUUCUACAACCAAAAAUUGUUAUACUCGUCCCAUUUACUUGAGCAUUUCUCUUGCAGUUCUAUUAACCCUCUUGUUCCUAAUAAGAAGCAAUCACUAUUAUUAUUGAUAUAUAUGUAUGUAUGCAUAUACAUAUAUAUGUGUAUAUAUAUAUAUAUAUAUAUAUAUAUAUAUAUAUAUAUAUAU